GAAACGCAACUCCUUUGAUCAGAGGGUCACAGGUUGGUCAAAGUCAGCAGGGUUUUAACACGAGUCCUUAUUCUGGGUUAUAAACUUCCAGCUUUGCGCAGCAGAAUGUUCUGCAGGUGCUGUAUAGGAAGGAGCUAAGGGUGUCAGGAGGAUAAUCCCAGUGUGAGGGCAGGCUGCCAGCGCACUCUGUCAUAUCUGGACCCAAUAUGGGUGACAUUUGGAAUGAAUUACUACCCGUCCACCAGCUUCAACAGCUUCACUAUGAGGACUGAAGGUGCACCUGCUUUCCAUUUGAUGUAUCACUGACCUCUUCAGCCUGGUUGAGUUUUGAGUUUAUAUGACACCCCUGAUCAGAUGUGACCCUUAUGGAACCUGUCCUGCUGCCUGCCGGACACUGCAAUCAACUCUGAGGCACAUCUGACACCAAAUCCUCCCUGCUGGUCUCGCCUCGUACAAAUGUGGCAUUCUCAUUUUCUCACAGUCGUGCACAAUGAAAGAUGGACACACAGGCGCUGGAGCUGACCUAUAAUCCCUGUCUGAAGCUUGUGAUCCUCCAUUAUCAACGGCAUUUCUAACAAGGCACAUUCAAGUAGUUUGUGGUGGGUACAUGAAGUGUGGACACUAUAGCCCUAUCCCUGUUACACUCUCUUUAACACCCAGUCAGUGACACAGUUGCUCUUGUUGCAUAAG
rnacentral:lncRNA from 1 species